rnacentral:lncRNA from 1 species
AUAUAUAUAUAGGCACAAAACCAAAAACUCAUCUUUAAUAUGAACCUAACAGAUUUACUUCCAUAAUUAUAUGUUAGAACUUAAUACAUGUAGUGCAAGCAAAAUUCCCACAUAAAACUAGAAGAUUUUAGAUUUGAUAUUUGAACAAUGAAUACUUAAAGUCAUUCUUUCCCCUUUCUUCCAGCAAGGCCCUUGGUUUAUAUGCCAACAUAUAAUUGUAUGAUAAACCUUACAAGAGUGGAAUCGACAAUUUUUUGACUAUCAUCAGAUCUCACCAUUUUUUUGUCAAUUUCUACAAUUGUUUAUGUUGUGCAAUGAUGAAUUUGAGGUAAAUUCUUACCCAAAUCCUGGAAAAUCAAUUUCGAACCAUCUGAUUAGGUCUUGUGCUUUUGUUUAGAUUUUUUAAAACAAAUUAACAUACAGUUGACUUAAUAUGGAAAAGAUAUCAUAAUGAAGGAAUGAUACUUUAAUCCGUGACUGGAUAAGGUAGCAACACAAUAUCCAAUAUUCAUCAAAAGAAUCUAUACCCUGAACCACCACC